UACGUAGGGGGCAAGCGUUGUCCGGAUUUACUGGGCGUAAAGAGCGUGUAGGCGGCCACGCAGGUCCGUUGUGAAAACUGGAGGCUCAACCUCCAGCUGUCGACGGAAACCGUAUGGCUAGAGUCCGGAAGAGGAGAGUGGAAUUCCUGGUGUAGCGGUGAAAUGCGCAGAUAUCAGGAAGAACACCAAUGGCGAAGGCAGCUCUCUGGGACGGUACUGACGCUGAGGCGCGAAAGCGUGGGGAGCGAACAGG
rnacentral:rRNA from 1 species